UGGAGGCGGUCUCUUUAAAUGUCCCAUAAUUCCACACAGCAGUCACAUGUGCUCAUUUCGCAGAGAGUUCACUCAGGAACGGACGCAACAUGGGCGCUGUUUGCCUUUCUGAACCCCCUGACUGAAGAGAAACGUGCAAGUUUCGAUGAUGUUCACUAUAACGGCCCCUAUAUCGGUUUGGCCCUGAGCCGAGGCCACACUCGUGCUGAAGAAUCCUUCACUAAAAAUGCUUUGCUAAUACAUCACGAAGGCCGAAAACAGAAGAGCCACAGUCAUUAGAUCCCAUUGAUGGCUUCACUCCUGGGGCAUGUGUGUCUAGUGAUUGUGGUGGCAUGUUCCUCAGUGAUGCAGUAUGAGUGGAGCUAAUGUUAUCACUGUGUUUGGAGCAUACCUGAAAUGAGUGGUGGCAUUACUAUUGUAAACCAUGUGUUUAUAUAUAAAUGUAUAGUUUGUAAAUAAAGAGGCUGGCUUUAGCUUUUGUGUUUUUGUUCUAACAUCAAGUCCUGAAUGAUGUUCCCCUCAGGGAGAAAAGUAAUAUUAGUGACUAUGAUUAAGCUGUAUUUGGGUUUCCAUUUUCUUAGAAACCUUUGCAAAUUUCAGCAGUUUACACUGGGUACACUGAUUUUAGCCAUCUAAGACAAAUUGUGUGACUCCUAAAAUAAAUUCCUCUUCUCGCAAAAAUCUGAGUUUGUAAGUUUGACAUGCUUGAUUAAUGACCAUUGUGAUCAAGUUUUACCUCCUGUGAAACUGGCAGGGUCAAGAUUUGAUUUAGUCCUGCAUGUAAUGCAGCUUACAUUCACAUAAUGUAUUAUUGAUUGAUGGGAAAAACUGACUCUUGUGUGCAUGCUAUUUAUGUCUUCACUGUUGUACAGUCUGACAUUAAUAAUUGAUUUUACAGUGUGACAUGUUUGUACAGUGACAAAGUACUUUAAAUUGCACAGCUUAGGCAGGAAAUGUUUAAAAGGGUGGAGGUUUAGCUAUUGAUGUUAGUCUUCUAGAUGGGAGCUGUGAAUAAAGUUCUUGUUCGGAAUGAU